rnacentral:pre_miRNA from 1 species
UUAACUCAAAUUUGUUUAGAGUUGGCACGUUUGCCUACGUUUGCCGAUAAGGGCGCUGAUCCAACUCCAUACAAAUCUGAGUUA